AAAGCUUUAGCUUAAUUAAAGCGUCUGUUUUGCAUGCAGAAAAUGUAGGUUAGUGUCCUGCAAGUUUUAA
rnacentral:tRNA from 1 species